UGGGGAAUAUUGGACAAUGGACCAAAAGUCUGAUCCAGCAAUUCUGUGUGCACGAUGAAGUUUUUCGGAAUGUAAAGUGCUUUCAGUUGGGAAGAAGUCAGUGACGGUACCAACAGAAGAAGCGACGGCUAAAUACGUGCCAGCAGCCGCGGUAAUACGUAUGUCGCAAGCGUUAUCCGGAUUUAUUGGGCGUAAAGCGCGUCUAGGCGGCUUAGUAAGUCUGAUGUGAAAAUGCGGGGCUCAACCCCGUAUUGCGUUGGAAACUGCUAAACUAGAGUACUGGAGAGGUAGGCGGAACUACAAGUGUAGAGGUGAAAUUCGUAGAUAUUUGUAGGAAUGCCGAUGGGGAAGCCAGCCUACUGGACAGAUACUGACGCUAAAGCGCGAAAGCGUGGGUAGCAAACAGG
rnacentral:rRNA from 2 species